GUGCUCACUUCAACAGCACAUAUACUAAAAGUGGAAUGAUAUAGAGAAGAUUAGCAUGGCCCCUCUGCCUGCAAGGAUGACACACAAAUUUGUGGUGUUCCAUAUUUUU
ensembl:snRNA U6 U6 spliceosomal RNA